UACGUAGGGAGCAAGCGUUGUCCGGAAUCAUUGGGCGUAAAGCGCGCGUAGGUGGCCUCAUAAGUCCGCUGUGAAAGUCAAAGGCUCAACCUUUGAAAGCCGGUGGAUACUGUGAGGCUAGAGUACGGAAGAGGCGAGUGGAAUUCCUGGUGUAGCGGUGAAAUGCGCAGAUAUCAGGAGGAACACCAAUGGCGAAGGCAGCUCGCUGGGACGUGACUGACGCUGAGACGCGAAAGCGUGGGGAGCAAACAGG
rnacentral:rRNA from 1 species